AGAGUUUGAUCCUGGCUCAGAGUGAACGCUGGCGGCGUGCUUAACACAUGCAAGUCGAACGAGAACAGAAGAGAGCUUGCUCUCUUGCUGCUAAGUGGCGCACGGGUGAGUAAUAUAUAGGUAAUAUGCCUCUUACUAAGGGAUAAUUGUUGGAAACGACUUGUAAUACCUUAUAUGCCUUUUGAACAUAAGUUCGUAAAGGGAAAGAUUUAUCGGUAAGAGAUUAGCCUGUACGGUAUCAGAUAGUUGGUGGGGUAAUGGCCUACCAAGUCUAUGACACCUAACUGGUUUGAGAGGAUGAUCAGUCACACUGGAACUGAGACACGGUCCAGACUCCUACGGGAGGCAGCAGUGGGGAAUAUUGCACAAUGGACGAAAGUCUGAUGCAGCAACGCCGCGUGGAGGAUGACACAUUUCGGUGCGUAAACUCCUUUUAUAUGAGAAGAUAAUGACGGUAUCAUAUGAAUAAGCACCGGCUAACUCCGUGCCAGCAGCCGCGGUAAUACGGGGGGUGCAAGCGUUACUCGGAAUCACUGGGCGUAAAGAGCAUGUAGGCGGGUGAAUAAGUUGGAAGUGAAAUCCUAUAGCUUAACUAUAGAACUGCUUCCAAAACUGUUCACCUAGAGUAUGGGAGAGGUAGAUGGAAUUUCUGGUGUAGGGGUAAAAUCCGUAGAGAUCAGAAGGAAUACCGAUUGCGAAGGCGAUCUACUGGAACAUUACUGACGCUCAGAUGCGAAAGCGUGGGGAGCAAACAGGAUUAGAUACCCCUGG
rnacentral:rRNA from 1 species